rnacentral:lncRNA from 1 species
GGCAAUAACACAAAUAAUAUCAUAAUUUCAUAUUCAAUUAAAAAGAAUAAUAAUUUUUCUUUAUUAUCUGCCAACUGGUAUCUAUGGAGGUUCAUAGGGAUGUCUCCACUACGCGUGAACCCUUAUUUAACAUUUUCAAGUAACCAACCGUCCUCAUACCCCGUUCUGUAUGAGCACCAAAAAUAUCAUCCUUCAAUACCCCGUCC